CAAGUAGUAUAAAUAUAUAUAAAAUAAGAAAUAUAGUGCAAAUAUGAAAAUAAAUUAUAAACGAGAAAUACAGGAAAAAUAUAACUUACUCAUGAUUCAGAUGGUGAAGAUUCUCGUCUCGCAAGGAAAGCCUUAAUUUUUAGAGAACCAUGAAGAGAGCCAGUUAUAAGGGUGGCUGGGUCAAACUGCCCCCCCCCCUCGAGAUAACGAUAAGACCAAGGUCCCUCCCGGUUGUUUAGUCGUCUUGUCUACGUCAUUUUAUUUCCCUAGGUAAUUGAGAAUCCUGGUUUCUAACCACCUAAGGUAAUUGAGAAUCCUGGUUUCUAACCACCUAAGGUAAAUGAGAAUCCUGGUUUCUGACGCCCUAGGUAACUGAAAAAUUCUGGUUUCUGAUCCUCUG
ensembl:lncRNA